UCUUUGCUAUGGAUAUGUUAGUCAUUUGCUGAGCUUUAUAUGCUCACCCCGUUGCUAUAUAAAUUUUUCAGGAUAGCUUAUCGCUCACUAAAAUGUGUAAAUUGGGUUGAGGCAGUGGAAGACUAGAAGAUUUUGGGGCAAAUAUUUUGUACUUGAUUGGUUGAUGUUGUAUAAGUUCUUUUUGGGUGUAAUGAAAUAUCAAUGACAAAUCUAGAUUGAUGUAUCUUGUAAAUAUUUGAAAAGUACCUCUUACGUCAGGAUUUUGGAAAUGUUAAGUCUAAACUGUAUACUGAUAUAAACAUGUAGUACAUAUUGGUUUUGUGAUUACAUUAAUUACCGCGCUUAUGAAUUUAUGAUAUAGUUAUGGUUUAGUUAAGUUGCUUUUGGAUUUUAAAAAUCAUCUAGUGACAUGAUGUAUGAUUAUAAACUGCACAGGUUUUGUGAAUUGUGGAUUGUAGAGGUGAAUGACUUGAAUGUUUUUCUUAGUGACCUCAAAUGUGUGAUUGGAUCCUGGGUUGUUUGUUGAAUUAUAAUAUUAUCAAUCUUGAGUUAGGUUCACACCUCCUAAAUGAGAAUUAAAUUCGGGGGGCGUGACAGAGUAGUAUCAGAGCAUGGUUUGAGGAUCACUGAAAUAUUUGAUAUGUUGAUGUGCAAAAUGUUAGGAUCGAGAGCACNNNNNNNNNNNNNNNNNNNNUACGAUUAAAUCUAAGACAACUUCUGCAGCUUUGCUUCGGUGCGUCAAUCGCUCCUUCCGGCGAGUUUCCGGCGAACUUCCAUCGAUCAUCCGAUGAACCCUCGGUGAUGCUCCUGCGGACUUCCGGCAAACUCCUGGACUUUGCGACGAUCCACUUGGCAAGUUCCGACGAGCUUCGCUUGGCAAGCUUCUGGACUUCUCGGAUCUGUUCUCGCAGAACCUCCGACGACCGUCCGAACUUCCGUCGAACUCUCGAACUCCCAACGUGAUCAUGAACUUGACUCCGGCGUAACUCCUGCUGCUUGUCUAUCUUUCAUCGUAGUUAAUCCUGCACACUUAUCUCAACACAUAGAUUAGACAACAAAUGACAAUUGACUUCAUUAUCAAAAUCCGAGAUUCAACACAAAAUAUAUUGAGGUCUAGUGAACUAUAGUGAUUGGUGAAAAUUUUCUUUGAUGCAUUUUAGGAAUCUAAGAUGACAAGGACAUUUAGUCCUCCUACUUCGUCUGUUUUUGAUUAAUUAAGUGCGAUAAAAGGGUUGAUCGGGGAUAUUAAAUCAGAGUGGCGUAGUAGAAGCGUGGUGAACCUAAUACAUUGGUAGCAAAAAAAUAGAUGAUGCGAUUGGAGAAGAUAUUUGAUGUACGAAAUUGUUCUGAUGAUCAAAAGAAUUUCUAGAGAUUAAGGACAAUAAUAGCAAGGACAAGUUUACCAAAAAAAAAAAAAGAUUAGAAAUGAAUCAGAAUGUGAUAACAAGAGGGUCAAGACAUCAUCGAUUUAAAAAGGGAAGUCACCACAAAAGAUUCAAUCCUGUGUACGAUGCGAGUUAAAUUAUGAAAUAAGUUUGUAUUUGUAGGUGACUGGAGCCUAUUUUGCUUGUGGAAAUUUGGAUCAUAAAAUAAAAGACUGCCUUUUGGACAAGAAGAAAGAAUCACUUGCUCAUAAAUCAUCAGCCCAUGUCAGAGUGUAUGUUAUCAUGGAAUAUUAUUCUAAAUCUUUUGAAUUAGUGGUCGAAGGUACUAUUCAUAUUUCUGAAAGAAUGCAAAUAUUUGUUUGACCAUGUGUCUCAUCUAUGAUUUGAUUCAUAAUAUUUUGCUUAUCACAUGGGCAUUCAACCUGAACCACUGGAUUAUAUGCUAUAUGUAAAUACGGCUAUUGGGGAUUGUUUGAUAACAAACUCGAUCUGGUCAUCUUGUUUGAUUUUUAUUGGAGAACACGAACUUCUUGCUGAUUUGGUUCUCCUAGAUAUUUGGAGUUUUGAUAUUAUACUAAGUAUGGAUUGACUAUCUUCCAAUCAUACCAGUAUAGAUUGUUAUACAAAAUGAUCACUUUUUGCAUACUAGAUUAUCCCAUCUUUUAUUUUGAGAGUAUUGGGCAUGAUUUACCUCCUUGCCUGAUGUAUUUCCAGAUGACUUGCCUGGUUUACCUCCAGAUUGAGAGGGUGAAUUUACUAUUGAUUUGGUCCUUGAGACAAUCCCAAUAUCUAAGCCUCCUUACAGAAUGACACCACUCGAGCUAAAGGAAUUGAAAAACCAACUACAAGAACUAUUAGGUAAGGGUUUCAUUCGACCCAGUGUUUCACCAUGGGGUGCUCCGGUACUAUUAGUUAAGAAGAAGGAUGGAACAUUAAGGUUUUGUAUUGAUAAUAGACAAUUGAAUCAGGUGACUAUCAAAAACAAGUAUCCCCUACCUAGAAUUGAUGAUUUGUUUGAUCAAUUGCAGGGUGCAUAAAUAUUCUCCAAGAUUGAUUUAAGGUCAGGUUACUAUCAGUUGAAGAUCAUAAAGGAGGAUAUUCCAAAAACAGCUUUUAGAACUCGAUAUGGUCACUAUGAAUUCUUAGUGAUGUCUUUUGAUUUAACUAAUGCCCCUACAGCUUUUAUGGAACUGAUGAAUAGGAUAUUUCAACCAUUCUUGAACGAUUGUGUGAUUGUAUUCAUUGAUGACAUAUUAGUAUAUUUAAGGAGUAAUCAGGAGUUUGAGGAACACUUGAGAAAUAUAUUGUCCAUACUAAGAGAAAAAAAAAAAAGUUGUAUGCAAAGUUCAACAAAUGUGAAUUUUGGUUGAACGAAAUUGCUUUCUUAGGCCAUGUGAUUUCAGGGAAGGGCAUAUCUAUUGAUCCAAAGAAAGUGGAAGCUGUAGUUAAGUGGAAAGUACCAACAAAUGUAAUAGAAGUUAGAAGCUUCUUAGGCAUGACAGGUUAUUAUGGUAGAUUUGUGGAGAGAUUUUGUUGAAUCGCUCAAUCUCUCACCAUACUCACUCAAAAGAAUGUGAAAUUUGUAUGAGGUGAUGACUGUGAGCGAAGUUUUCAAGAGUUAAAAAGGAGAUUGACUAGUGCCCCUAUUCUCACUAUUCCAAGUGGUGAUGAGGGAUUACUGGUUUAUACUAAUGCCUCAAGAAAGGGCCUUGGAUGUGUUUUGAUGCAAGAAGGGAAAGUGAUUGCUUAUGCUUCUAGACAACUAAAGAGUUAUGAACUGAAUUAUCCAACUCAUGAUUUGGAAUUGACAGCAAUUGUUUUUGCUCUAAAGAUUUGGAGGCAUUACUUAUAUGGGUGAACAUUUGAAAUCUUUACUGAUCAUAAGAGUUUAAAGUAUAUUUUUACUCAAAAAGAGUUAAACAUGAGGCAGCGGAGAUGGAUAGAACUUCUAAAGGGUUAUGAUUGUACCAUUCAUUAUCACCCGGGUAAAGCUAAUGUUGUAGUAGAUGCCCUUAGUAGAAAAUCUAUAAGUUUUAUGGCGACUUUAGUUGUGAAGCAAUAGAAGUUAUUAGAAGAGAAUUAUGAUUUAAAUGUUAUGAGAAAAGGGCAAUACUCAAUGAUAUUAAUGGCCUCCAUCCAAGUGCAAUCUGAUCUCAUUCAACAAAUUAAAGAAGGACAACUACAAGAUCGAUGCUUGAUCUGCUUAAGGAAUGAAGUAGAAAAGGGAUUGAAACUGAAUUUUUGAGUUUCAGAAGAUGGCCUAUUGAGAUUUGGGGAUAGAAUAUGUGUUCCAAAUGACUCAGAUAUCAAAAAUCAAAUCCUGAUGGAAGGUUAUAAUUCAAAGUACACCAUUCAUCCUGGUAGCACUAAGAUGUAUAGAGAUCUCCAAAGUCAUUAUUGGUGGGAAGGCAUGAAGAAUGAGAUUGCAAUAUAUGUUUCAAAGUGUUUGACUUAUCAGCAAAUUAAAGUAGAACACCAAAGACUUGGAGGUUUGUUGCAACCUUUAGAUAUUACUGAAUGGAAAUGAGAAUGUAUUACCAUGGACUUUAUUUCAGGACUACCCCGAACUUCUAGAAAGCAUGAUGCUAUUUGGGUUAUCAUUGAUAGGUUAACGAUAUCUGCACAUUUCCUACCUAUCAAUAUGACUUAUUCUCUUAAUAGGCUUGCAGAUUUAUAUAUAAAUGAAAUAGUAAGACUUCAUGGUGUUCCAAAGGAGAUAAUCUCUGACAGAGACUCCAUAUUUCUAUCUAGAUUUUGGAGAAGGUUACAGGAAUCUAUUGGCACUAAAGUCAAAUUUAGCACUGCUUAUCACCCUCAAACUGAUGGUGAUUGAUAAAGACUUGUCUUAUGUGGAAGAGCCCACUCAGAUUGUUGAUAAAAAAGAAAAGAUCUUGAGGAAUCGGGUUAUCCCUCUAGUUAAAGUGAUAUGGAGAUAUCAUUCUGGAGAGAAAACAACGUGAGAGCUUGAGGAAGAAAUGAUGAAAGCUUAUCCUCAUCUUUUCGUCGAAUGAGGUAUGAUAAAUUUAGAGGAUUAAAUUUUUCUUUAAGGAGGGGAGAGUGUAACAUCCCCCAUUUUUAAAAAUUUAGUAAAAGGUUUGUUUGCAAAAAUAAGGAUUAUUUAAUAAUUAUUUUAUAUUAAAUAAUAUUAUAUUAAAAGUUUAUGGCUAGGGGCCUAAGAGUAAAUAUUAGAAGUUUGAUCUAAUUUAUGAAAGAUUCAGAUUUAAGUUAAAAAAAAAAUAGUGGACAUGUGUCACUAGCUAACCUAAGGUUGGUGCCACUUAUCUUUGCUCUAAAGAUGACACCUAGCCCCUUUCAUGCAUGCUUGACAACUUGCAACUUUUGCAUUAGCCAAAACCCAAAUAAUUAGAUGAAAAGUUAAAGAAAACAAACCUGAAGAGUUGCAGCCAACGUGAGUUUGAGAAGAGAAGGGAAGAAGAAGAAGAAGAAGAAGAGCUUGAGGUUUUUCAUCAAUUUUCCCACAUUUGGGAUUCAAAUAAUUUUAAGGCAAGUGUUCUAACCCCAUCCCAUAGUAACCUUAAUCUUUGUUUCUAUUUUUAUUCUUCAAAAUUUGAAAGAUUUCAACUGAGAACCAGAUCAUCUUUUGUUUUGAUAUAAAGUUAUGAAUCUGUAAUUUUUCGAUAAUCUGACCUCUAUGCAAUGUUUUGGUCAUAAUAUUUUAUAAUAAACUCUGAUUUAGACAAGACCUAUUCCAUUUGAAAGUAGACAAAAAAAUAUUUAUUUUGAUACUAAGAUCAAAUGAUUUGGAGUUUAAAUGCCUACUAAGACUUCUGUUUAAAUUAACCCUACAGAUUCUGUAAAAUAGGGACUGAAAUUUCUGACCUCUUGUUGCUUAACUACUUAUAACUUUCUGCUUUGAACUCAGAUUCAUACAAAGUAUGAUUUAUUCGAAGCUAGACUCAAAAUUAUUUCUGUAUAUACCUGAUUUGAAAAUUUUUGAGUACAAUUGCUAACUGAAACAUCUGCUUUCAUCGACCCUAUGGAUUCAGUAAAACAGAGCUAAUAUUUUCAGACCUUUCUCUAUGAAAUUAUAUGUAACUCCUUGUUGUAAAUUCCAAUUCUUGUUAAACUUGAUUUUCCUAAAACUAGAUUUAUAAAGCUUUCUAAUGACAUCUAUUUUGUAUAAAUUAGAGUAUAACUGGUUAUCCAAAUAAUUUAUACAAUGUUCCUAGCAAAUUCUACCAGAAUCGACCUUUGGUCGAUUUCGGCUUUCCUUGUUUCUUCUCUUUGGAAAUUGAUUUCGGCAAAAACUCUUACUUCAGUUAAGCUUUACAUUUUUAUCUUAAAUUCCUGUAUACUUUUGUCCUUUAUUUAUUUGUACAUUUGCAGCUAUCAUCUAAAGAGCAUGUUUGCAUCGUAAUGAUUCGGCACAUGCAUCCCAUUGUUCCGCAUUUGCUUUCGAUAUGUGCCUCUUCCAGUUUUAUUUCUUUGGAUAUUGAAUUUAUCUAACUUUCUUAUUUCAAUUGAGCUAUAUAUAGUUUCUUGAAAUCCUUGUAUGCUCUUGCUUUUGUUUCCUUUCAAAUCUGAAUACAUUUGUGAAAGAUUAUGUUUGUAUCGUAUUGACUCGAAAGGCAUAUGUACAUUUCGUUGUUCCGCAUAUGCUUCCAAUAUAUGCUAAUUUCAUUAUUCAUACUGUCCCUUUGUACUCUGGUGUUUGUGGGAUAAAUGUGAACCUUUGCUAGAAAUGGUAAAGGGAGUUAUGCUUAGAGCCCGCGAUGCUCUGCCGGCCCCCUAUGACUUCACUCAGACGUGGGAGACUUAUGUUUGUUGGUCAUUCAGAAAUGGAUGUACCAUAUUAUGUUAUGAUCCUACUUCACCUUCUAUGUGUUUGAUAUGAUAUCCAAAGAUUUGGCUAUGUUUCUAUGCAUGCUUUAGAUAAGAAUGAAAUGAAUGCAUCGUUAUGUGACAUUUGAGCUUCUAUUCAUGUUUUGUUCUUUGAUAUAUUUCCGAAAUGUUAUAAGUCUUUGUUAUAUCUUGAAAACUAUCAUAUGUCAUCGAUAUGCUCCUUAUGCCAAUGAUAUGCUCCAAUUACCUUUCCUCGAUUGUAUGUAUAAAACGUGCUUCGAACGAUCCAACAUUGUAAUUCUGCAUUCAAACAAAAUAUGCUACUGUUUCAUCUUGUAUCUCUGCUUUGUAUUUUGAUACCUUAUUUGUUUGAAACCUGUCCUCUUUGCUAUGGAUAUGUUAGUCAUUUGCUGAGCUUUAUAUGCUCACCCCGUUGCUAUAUAAAAUUUUCAGGAUAGCUUAUCGCUCACUAAAAUGUGUAAAUUGGGUUGAGGCAGUGGAAGACUAGAAGAUUUUAGGGCAAAUAUUUUGUACUUGAUAGGUUGAUGUUGUAUAAGUUCUUUUUGGGUGUAAUGAAAUAUCAAUAACAAAUCUAGAUUGAUGUAUCUUGUAAAUAUUUGAAAAGUACCUCUUACGUUAGGAUUUUGGAAAUGUUAAGUCUAAACUGUGUACUGAUAUAAACAUGUAGUACAUGUUGGUUUUGUGAUUACAUUUAUUGCC
rnacentral:lncRNA from 1 species